rnacentral:rRNA from 1 species
UACGUAGGGUGCAAGCGUUGUCCGGAUUUAUUGGGCGUAAAGGGUGCGUAGGUGGCGAUGUAAGUCUGGUGUGAAAUCUCGGGGCUCAACCUCGAAAUUGCAUUGGAUACUGCGUUGCUUGAGGAUUGUAGAGGAGAGUGGAAUUCACGGUGUAGCAGUGAAAUGCGUAGAUAUCGUGAGGAAGACCAGUUGCGAAGGCGACUCUCUGGGCAAUUCCUGACACUGAGGCACGAAGGCUAGGGGAGCAAACGGG